AAUUUCAUUCAUUUUGAGAAGGGACGAUGGGGUAAUGUAACCGUCGUUACUUUUUUUUGCGUGGCUCCGCCACCUAAUCCUGACAUCCCUGCACAUUGUGGAGAACCUUACAAAAGUCGCUCAGAACGGCUAACUUCACCCAAAAUCAUCUGUCAUCCCGCACGGUCACUCUCCUUCUCUGAGUUAUCCAUAGGCGUCGUGCUCAACCAGGGACGUCACGGGGAAGUGUGGGCACCCAGAGAGCGACACACCGUGUAAAUUUGCCUCCGAAUAAAUAUGUAUGUGUGUCGGUCCACUGAAAGUAAAGUCUCGCAAAUAUUUUCAGAGCGGAACAUGUUCUUUCUGUCUGUGACCUCGUUAGAGUGCGCGUCGUGUGUAGUCAAAAGUUAAAAAGUACCAAAAGUUAUACGUAUUACGAACACUAAAAGUAGUACGGUGCGGUUAUUAAAAAUUAGUACGAUUAAGAAAUUGUUAAAAGAACAUAAACAGUGUGAACAGAACUAAACAAAAAAGCAACAAAGAAAAGGUAAAUAACUGAACAACAAAAACAGUAGAUUUGUAAACCACGUGGACUAUGUAAACUUUGUUAUGUCACUGGUACUAUAACCCUUCUUGGCAGGUCCAAGAGGGCCUUUUCUUAUUUUGUCGGCUAAUCCUCCAGGUUAAUUGUGACUACGAACACACGGCAAAUCAUAAACCAGGCAGAAAUAAAUCCGAAACAUUACUUUGUUCGCCAAUAACAAGGUUAUGUUCUGAGGACCAUCCGGUGGUAAAAGGCCCGCUACAUAACCUCGUUCGACCAAUCUGAGGUUUGUUCGAAGAACCAUCUGGUGGUGAAAGGCCCGCACCAUAACCUUGCCCGUCAAGUUUGAGGUUACCGACGAGGACCUUUCGGCAGCACCAGUCAGGGGUCACACACAGCCAGCAUCGGGCUCUUCCGGGACGCCGGAAAGACGCCUGGUGUGGACCCUAAAUUGCCGUCGGAAACCACCACACGCAUGUGGUUAACCGUUGCUGUUCACCGAGCCAGCCGCCUGUCGCCGUUCCAGCUAAGACCCGUGAAAAACUGAAACUAACCGCAAGU